rnacentral:pre_miRNA from 1 species
AAAAGGUCGACACGUUUGGACUUCCGUCUCUUUCCCAGCUGAUAUUGGAUAGCAUGCUGGCAAGAAAUGGCAGUCCAGAUGUGUACACCUUCAA